CCUACGGGGGGCAGCAGUGAGGAAUAUUGGUCAAUGGACGAGAGUCUGAACCAGCCAAGUAGCGUGAAGGAUGACUGCCCUAUGGGUUGUAAACUUCUUUUAUAUGGGAAUAAAAUGUUCCACGUGUGGGAUUUUGUAUGUACCAUAUGAAUAAGGAUCGGCUAACUCCGUGCCAGCAGCCGCGGUAAUACGGAGGAUCCGAGCGUUAUCCGGAUUUAUUGGGUUUAAAGGGAGCGUAGGUUGAUUGUUAAGUCAGUUGUGAAAGUGUGAGGCUCAACCGUAAAAUUGCAGUUGAAACUGGCAGUCUUGAGUACAGUAGAGGUGGGCGGAAUUCGUGGUGUAGCGGUGAAAUGCUUAGAUAUCACGAAGAACUCCGAUUGCGAAGGCAGUUCACUGGACUGCAACUGACACUGAGGCUCGAAAGUGUGGGUAUCAAACAGGAUUAGAUACCCGAGUAGUC
rnacentral:rRNA from 1 species